rnacentral:rRNA from 1 species
UACGAAGGGGGCUAGCGUUGCUCGGAAUUACUGGGCGUAAAGGGCGCGUAGGCGGGUAUUUAAGUCAGAGGUCAAAUCCCAGGGCUCAACCCUGGAACUGCCUUUGAUACUGGGUACCUAGAGUUCGGGAGAGGUGUGUGGAACUCCGAGUGUAGAGGUGAAAUUCGUAGAUAUUCGGAAGAACACCAGUGGCGAAGGCGACACACUGGCCCGAUACUGACGCUGAGGCGCGAAAGCGUGGGGAGCAAAC